UGAUGCGAUCAUACCAGCACUAACACACCGGAUCCCAUCAGAACUCCGAAGUUAAGCGUGCUUGGGCGAGAGUAGUUCUAGGAUGGGGGACCCCCCCCGGGAAGUCAUCAUGUUGCAUCGC